rnacentral:rRNA from 1 species
GAUGAACGCUGGCGGCGUGCCUAAUACAUGCAAGUCGAGCGAACAGACGAGGAGCUUGCUCCUUUGACGUUAGCGGCGGACGGGUGAGUAACACGUAGGUAACCUACCUAUAAGACUGGGAUAACUUCGGGAAACCGGAGCUAAUACCGGACAAUAUUUCGAACCGCAUGGUUCGAUAGUGAAAGAUGGCUUUUCUAUCACUUAUAGAUGGACCUGCGCCGUAUUAGCUAGUUGGUAAGGUAACGGCUUACCAAGGCAACGAUACGUAGCCGACCUGAGAGGGUGAUCGGCCACACUGGAACUGAGACACGGUCCAGACUCCUACGGGAGGCAGCAGUAGGGAAUCUUCCGCAAUGGGCGAAAGCCUGACGGAGCAACGCCGCGUGAGUGAUGAAGGUCUUCGGAUCGUAAAACUCUGUUAUUAGGGAAGAACAAACGUGUAAGUAACUGUGCACGUCUUGACGGUACCUAAUCAGAAAGCCACGGCUAACUACGUG